rfam:Picea glauca, whole genome shotgun sequence.
GCAAAAGCCCUAUUUAGGGCUACAAAAAAUUAUGUUGUCAAAUUCAU